UAACUUAACUGACAAAAUACCAAUUUUAUACCCACAGAAAUUACUAAAUACGACCUCGCUUCCCAAAAAUUGCGGGCUAGAGUUAACUCGUCCGUAUAAAGGUUCUGCAACAUUUGCUUAGCUCUUGAGUUAACCCAAACUCUAUCAUCAAACCCAGUUUGAAUUGAGAAUAAUCAGAAUAUGAGUGCAAGUAGCUUGGUUGCAGAGGCAGUCUGGAAGGCCAUUGAAUCAGCUGGUUCAGUGACCGAUGAACAGCUUUCCAUGUUGCAUUUCUUGUUUGGUAAGAACUUGGAGCGAGCGACUAGGAUAGUCGAUCAAAGAGGUGUCAAGAGGAUUUUCGGUGAGCCCAGUGGACGUUCUAUAUUUCAGGUUGUAGGAGAAUCCCGAAGGAAGGAGGAGUACUUUUGUUUUGCUGAACACUAUUGCGCUUGUUAUUCAUUCUUCUAUGACAUUGUAAACAGAGGAGAGCAGCUUUGUUGUAAGCAUCAGUUGGCUGCAAGACUUGCUGCAGCAUUGGGAGCAUGCAUUGAAGAUAAGGUAUCUGAUGAGCAGUUAGCUCUACUGCUUUCCAAGCUAUGACAUAUACGGCCAUAACCAAAAUUUGGUAAUAGGAGUUGAAGAGAUACUACAAGAGCAGCCGCAUUUGACAGCAACGGUGCAUUUCUUGAACUUCCUCAGUUCCUCUGUAUAAAAUUAUUUAUACUGAUACUUGAGUUGAAAACUGGUUUGGCUAUGAUUGAUAUAGUUCCUGAAGCACAUGGCGUCAGCCGUCAGGUGCACAUCUUAUCAGAUGAGAUCUUUGUUUUCUGUCCAAGUUUUGUGUCAUCAUACGACUCCAUUUGGAUUGUUCUGCUCUGGCAUUGAUUAAUGAAUUAUGCAUACCUGAAAAACAAAAACAAGGGUCCCUUUGGUUUCUUCCUAAGUUCCAAGAAUGCUCUUAAAAAAAUUUGAAAUUAUUGUUACACCAAACUUAUA